CCAGGUUGUUGACAAACACCCAGAAGGGAAAGUGGAGGAUGGAGACAAUUAUCUGGAUAAUCUAGGACAAGAACAUGCUUUUCCUGCCAGUAAACAGCCAGAUCAUUGUGACCUGUCCCCCAAAUAGAGGAGCUGCUAACCUGACGCAACUAAAUGUUCUGAUAACUCCAUCACUCUUCACCGACACCUGAAGAUAUUGUGGAUAAAGGGCUUAAAAGCAUGCAUGAGAGCUACCAGAAAGUACAGCAACUAUGUCUACAGAAUCCAGACAUCUCCGUAAGUUACCUUUUAUGCAAAUGGGCUGUUUCCCAGACCACUCU